rnacentral:tRNA from 1 species
GCCCCGGAGCCUUUUAGGGCUCAUCUUCAAAUUUGCAUUUUGACGUAAAGUACCUCAGGGCUA